rnacentral:rRNA from 1 species
UAGGGAAUCUUCCACAAUGGGCGAAAGCCUGAUGGAGCAACGCCGCGUGAGUGAUGAAGGUUUUCGGAUCGUAAAACUCUGUUGUUAGGGAAGAACACCCGAGAGAGGAUCUCGGAUUGACGGUACCUAACGAGGAAGCCCCGGCUAACUACGUGCCAGCAGCCGCGGUAAUACGUAGGGGGCAAGCGUUGUCCGGAAUUAUUGGGCGUAAAGCGUGCGCAGGCGGUUCGGAAAGAAAGGUGUGAAAUCCCAGGGCUUAACCUUGGAACUGCACUUUUAACUACCGGGCUAGAGUACGUCAGAGGGGGGUAGAAUUCCACGUGUAGCAGUGAAAUGCGUAGAGAUGUGGAGGAAUACCGAUGGCGAAGGCAGCCCCCUGGGAUGAUACUGACGCUCAUGCACGAAAGCGUGGGGAGCAAACA